rnacentral:lncRNA from 1 species
UGGGAGUGGGAAAGAGGUGGCAUCGGCGGUUCAAGACUGAGUUUUCUAUCUCUUCAGUGCCUCUUUCAACAAUGAAGAUCAAACCAGGUACUGAGGUAGUGGGAGUGCUCAUCUAGUUUUUGGCUUUUAGUUUUGUGCAAAUAUCUGCUGAGUGAACUACUUAUUUGAAAAUACAUCAUUGGUUAAUAUUCCCUUUUGCUCAUUGAAAUCUCAAAGACUACAGAAGCAGAGAGAGAUAAGACCCAUGAUAAUCAAGCCAUAAACAGAUGCAUUUACUAGCUGAAUGGCCAACAAUGGAAUUCAACAAAUCCAUCUUGAGCACGGCAGCCAGGAGUGUGGUGCAAUUCCAUUAGAUGAAAGAGAUCUACACAUUCAGAAGCACAUGAUUCUUCCCCCUUCCAUGAUUCCAGUGGCCAAUAGACAAACUACAAUAAAGCCAUGCCCUGACUGGAUGUGCCUAACAUUUGUCUGGUGCUUAAAGGAGUUGGCUGCAUGCGUGGAAAUGUUGGAAAGUCACCAAAAAUAGUUCUCCAAGUCAGAAGCGGUGCAAAAGCUGCCUCAGCUCUUGGUGGAUUUUCAAUUUCUCCCAGCCAUCUCUGUUUCGCUAAAGGUUUCUGAAGACAGUGGAAUGCUGUUGAAGACACCACCUUGAUAAAACAAAAACAUCAGCCAAAUUAAAUUUAAAGGAGUUUAAUUGAGCAAAGAAUUAUUCAUGAAUCAAGCAGUCUUCCAAGCCAGAGUAGGCUCAAAUACUCCAGCACAGCCACGUGGUGGAAGAUUUAUGGACAAAAGAAGAAAAGUAACAUAUAGAAAAUGGAAAUGAGGGGAAGCUUUUUUCUCCUCCCCAUCCUGAUCACUAGUAUGAGAAGGGGUGCUAAUGGACCAGCCUUGGCCUUGCAGAUGAAGAUGAUGAAGGAAGAAGAUGUAUAAAGAACCUCUGAAAGAGUCCCAGUUUUACAUUUCAAAGUCUUUUUCCUUCUGUUGUUUAUUGUGUUGGGUUGGAGUGGAGGAUAUUUGAUGGAGAAUUGAUUCUGAAACUUGCCAAAAUAUGGAUAAUACUUUGCUCCUUUUCCAUUGUGGGUUAUCACAAAGAAGAGUUUCACUUUUAGUCAUCUAUUUACAGAUAAUGAAGAUAUUAUACCAUUAUAUGCUCUUGAAUCUGUCUCAUUGUGACUUGGCGAAGAGGCAGUGAAUCUGCCAAAAAGAAGUAGAGCAGCUGUGAAGAUGCCAACACAAUUGAGUACUCUUUCUCUACAUAUUUCUAAAUAUGGCAAUUUAUUGGACACUUAUGAGCAUGGAAUGACAAUGGGGUCAAUUUAACCAUACGGCAAUGCUGAGACACCUUCAUUAUGACCUUUCCCUGGUAUAAGUUAUGUGAUAAUGAAUGCAUGUUUAGUCACACACUGUAGGUACAGAUGGGAAAAAAGAAAGCAUAAAAUAUAAAA